rnacentral:piRNA from 1 species
UGAAAUGUGCCGAGAGUCUGCGUAUUCUUG